rnacentral:lncRNA from 1 species
GGACGUUGACAAGUUCGAGUGCAAGCAGACCCUCUUCGAAGGGGGCCACAUCGGGACGAAGCUGGAGAUAGCGACGAGCCAUUUCAAGUUCGAGCCGGCCUCCGGCGGAGGAUGUGUGCUGACGGUGGUGACCACCUACAAACUCCUGCCUGGAGUUGAGGACGACCAGAGCGAGAUAGUGAGGUCUAAGGAGACUGUGACGGGAAUCAUCAAGGCCGCAGAAGCUUACCUCGUCGCCAAUCCUGAUGCCUAUGUGUAGAUCGAUCGAGCAUCUAUCGAGUUUGCGUGAGAUUUCCUUUGUGUUCUCUGCAUAAGUUGCAUCAGUGUGCUUUCCUUGUCUCCUAAACAAUAAUCGAUUGCGAGCCAAUAAACAAUCAC